rnacentral:misc_RNA from 1 species
GAAAUGCGAUAAGUAGUGUGAAUUGCAGAAUUCAGUGAAUCAUCGAAUCUUUGAACGCACAUUGCGCCCCUCGGUAUUCCGUGGGGCAUGCCUGUUCGAGCGUCAUCUACACCCUCAAGCUCUGCUUGGUGUUGGGCGUCUGUCCCGCCUCCUUCGCGCGCGAACUCGCCCCAAAUCCAUUGGCGGCGGCCCUUGCCUCCCUCUCGCGCAGCACAUUGCGCUUCUCGAGGCGCGGCGGACCGCGUCCAGCAAGCAACCGUCACACCGUCUUUGACCUCGGAUCAGGUAGGGAUACCCGCUGAAGUUAAGC